GUAGUUUGAUCCUGGCUCAGAUUGAACGCUGGCGGCAUGCCUUACACAUGCAAGUCGAACGGCAGCACGGGAGCUUGCUCCUGGUGGGCGAGUGGCGAACGGGUGAGGUAAUGCAUCGGAACGUAUCCUGGAGUGGGGGAUAACGUAGCGAAAGUUACGACUAAUACCGCAUAUUCGUGUGAGCAGGAAAGCGGGGGACCUUCGGGCCUCGCGCUCUUGGAGCGGCCGAUGUCGGAUUAGCUAGUUCGGUGAGGUAAAGGCUCACCAAGGCGACGAUCCGUAGCAGGUCUGAGAGGAUGAUCUGCCACACUGGAACUGAGACACGGUCCAGACCCCUACGGGAGGCAGCAGUGGGGAAUUUUGGACAAU
rnacentral:rRNA from 1 species